GAUGAACGCUGGCGGCGUGCCUAAUACAUGCAAGUCGAGCGAACGGACGAGAAGCUUGCUUCUCUGAUGUUAGCGGCGGACGGGUGAGUAACACGUGGAUAACCUACCUAUAAGACUGGGAUAACUUCGGGAAACCGUAGCUAAUACCGGAUAAUAUUCUGAACCGCAUGGUUCAAAAGUGAAAGACGGUCUUGCUGGCACUUAUAGAUGGAUCCGCGCUGCAUUAGCUAGUUGGUAAGGUAACGGCUUACCAAGGCAACGAUGCAUAGCCGACCUGAGAGGGUGAUCGGCCACACUGGAACUGAGACACGGUCCAGACUCCUACGGGAGGCAGCAGUAGGGAAUCUUCCGCAAUGGGCGAAAGCCUGACGGAGCAACGCCGCGUGAGUGAUGAAGGUCUUCGGAUCGUAAAACUCUGUUAUUAGGGAAGAACAUAUGUGUAAGUAACUGUGCACAUCUUGACGGUACCUAAUCAGAAAGCCACGGCUAACUACGUG
rnacentral:rRNA from 1 species